rnacentral:siRNA from 1 species
UGCUCUAAGAGGUGUUGCGUUU